AGUGAUUUCACUUGGGAAGUGUCACUUGCAUGUGACAGGCCAUACAACUAAAAGGAACAAGUAAAAUCCGGAAAUGAAAGGAGACUUACAAGUCGACAUCGUCGUCGCUCGCACUCAAAUCCCGUUUAAUGUGCUGAUAGUAAAAAGUAUUUCUGAAAAUUUACAGAAAACGAACUGUUUAUUUUUGGUGGCAGUGCCGCUAGCUCAGUCUGCCUCAGGGCAGAGUACCCCUAUUGCCACAGCUCGAAACAUAAAAAAAAUCGACAAAUCCGCGGUCUCGCAUCACUGAAACUAUCGGACAUCUCUAAGAACAAAACGUAAACAAAGGUAAAUGUUUACAAACAUCGACAGAGAUUUGGGUUUUAUUUGGUUUUAUUUUGAUUUCGGCCAAGCGCUCCCUCCCUACGAAAGGUACCCUCUAUAUGCUGCUGGGCACCACCCAAACUUGGUCGGACGGCGCCCCUCCUCGCGACUACGGCGGCUCCAUCUCCCCCACUGGGACAAUUUACUCACACAUGGUGGAUUUUACAAACAUUUAAUAUUUGACAAAGACUUGGCCACCGUCUUCAGGACUUAAUCGGUCAAAGCCGGAAAGUUGUGCUCUACCAGUCAUGUAUUGGUAGAGCUCGCAUGGAAAAGCGGCCCUCAAAAAGUACACACGCAGGGAUGGCCACCUCAAUCUCCGGCAGAUGUGCAUCCCAUUCUCGAUGAUCCUCGUCUAAGACGCUGCGAAUUGCGGCCAAGACGUUUCUGUUUAGCCUCUUCGCAGCAUUGCUCUGUGGCACUCCAAACUUCUGAAAUACCUCGUUUACCAAGAUGUUUACUACGUUUGUUGCCGUCGGCUCCUUUGGACUCCUUACACACAUCGCAACUACAGACGUCUUCCCGCACCUGGAUAGUCAUCCCUGGCCAAUAGAAUAGAAGAAGUCUUCAUCAUUCCACCAUUACCAGCCUUGGAGCCCGCUCUAUCAGGCAGUGCGCAAGGAUUUGCGGGAUCCUCAGCUUCCAAUUCCUCGUCCAUUUCCGAAUUGCUCAUGCGCUUGAAGAUUAUUCCGUCCUCCACUUUCUGGUCUGUAUAAUGCUAGUAACUCCGACGGAUCUAUCCAGAUCUCCUCAAUGAUGCAGGAUAGGGUGUCGGCGACAACGUUCUCGCUGCCUUUGCGAUGUUCAGUGCUGAAAUCGUAGCCCUGCAGCUGGAAAGACCACCUUGUGAAUCGUCCGGACAGAUCCUUCAUCGUCAUCAACCACUUAAGGCUGGCAGACACUCCUUUUCCGUGACCGAGUAAUGGUGAUUGGUGAUUGUUCAUCUUGGCUGAGAAGAACGCGAUGGUUGCUCGUCUCCAUCCUGGUUCCGCUGAAACAAUACCGCGCCAACGCCAACGUGAAAUGCGUCGCACUGGAUGUAUAAAUAUUUCUUGAAAUUCGCGGGAACCAGGACCGGAGCGCUCAUGAAGGUCAGCUACUACCUGUGGGACGCUGGGACUUAGGACGAACUUUGCAUUUAGCAAAGCUACGCUGGCUAGCGUAUGGAAAUUCUUGACAAACCGUCAAUACCAUCCCGCUGUACCCAUGAAGGCUCGUAAUUACUUCAUGGAUUUCGGGUAGGGCAUCUUCUGAAUCGCCGAAACUCGUCCAGGAUCCAUCCGAAGCAGUCUACCUCCGACUAUAAACCCAAGACUGUGGGCUACUCGACGCAAGUACUUCAGGUGCGUCUGAAAAUCUGGAGUGAGGAUUAGCAAGUCGUCCAAAUACACGAAAACGUUGGAUCUAAGCUCCGCUGCUAUCACCCGAUCCAUAAGCAGCACCAAGCGUUGUGCCGCGUUGCACAGCCCGAUUGGCAUCAUUCGAAACUGGUACAACGGUCUGAAUGGAACCGUGAAUGCAGUGUACUCUUGACGCCUCUCGCCACUGGCUUCCCUACAACGGUUGGAGCUAAUCAGAACGCCUGCCAGAAGUCGACUCCGAAGUACACACUUUGCUCCAAGUACGGGCUUACUUACGCCUUUGUACUUCACAGGCAGCUCCACGCGUCCGAUAAUGGAUCGGUCCUCACCAGAAGCCGUCCGGACUAUGGAAAAGUACAAUUGGACCGUACCUCAAAGCGUUUUCACCAGCUCUCGACAACCGUUGCCCUCACUCACUGUUUUCCAACCAAGCAUCGCGAAAUAAUUGUUUUUAAAUGACUUUCGGCAUUUUGGCACGUACGCUUUGAUUCAAUUUUAUUUCACAAUUAAUUAUUAGAGAUCACAUAACAUAAUGCGACAACAUAUCGCACCAUCCAAAAAAUCGAUCGAUCAGAAAGCACGAUCAUAUGAAUAAAGUUCACGUAACAAUCGGCAAAAAAAGAACCAGCAAAACAUUGAACACCAAAAAUAAAAUUUUUCGUUGGUCACAAAUACAUUAAAAAAAUAUGCUAAAUUACUUU